ensembl:lncRNA
UUUUUUUUUUUUUCUGUUGUCUUAGGAAGUCUGUCAUGGCAGCUGUCACUGACAGCUGAUUUCAGUGGAAUCAUUCUGGUGACUUUGGUAAUAAUUUCCAUUACCCUGAGGAACUCCACCUCCUAUUUUGUUGUGAUUUUGUCCUAUAUUGCAUAUUUGGUUUAAUAUGGAACUAGUUGGUGAGUAAGCCAGAAUUGCACACUUUGGAGUAAUUUAGAUAUGACAUUUGUGAUUAACAAACCAGAAGAUGGAGACAUUUGCAAUGCAAAUCUGAUACAUAUUUAUGUGUAGGUGAGGGAUUUAAAUGAUGAUGUAUUCAGUGUAAUGCAACUUUAUGCAGAUGUAAGUGCUUAAGAAGUAAUUAAGUACAGUUUUCUGUAACAUUAAUUAGAGGAUCCUGAAUGCUUCCACUAUCGGUGGACUAAUCUAGGAAGCAAAUUGGAACUGGGUGUGCCAUUUGCACUGGUAACUUUAUUUUCAAAGAGUAGAAAGAUAAAACUGUUUUAUUUGAGCAUUUAACAUCACUUUCAAAGGAAACCUGAGCUUUUUAUGUCUGACAUUAGCACUGGAUGACUACAUAUUUCCCAAUUUCUCUCUUUUACCAGCGGAUCGAAAGAGGAGCUCAGACAACCCUGUACUCAUGUGUGGGCUUGGAACCCAGCCCUGAUUCCAAGGGUAGAGCCACGCUGGGCUGGCACAUCCAGGGGGGUGAGUGGCACAAAUGGCAAUUUCUGGUGAUGUGCUGGAGCAUUUAAGGUUCACAGGAAUGUGUUUAAGAUUGUGUGGCACUAACAUUUCAGAGUUUGGUGCAAGAACAGCUGUCUCAGGAGCUGAUCUGUGGCAGGGGGAACUGGGAGUUGCCUCCUCCUGCUGAGCAGAACUGCAACUCCUACAUUGGGGGGAAAGAGGAUUAGGAGAUGUUUUGUGCCUGUAUGCAAGGAAAGCAUUUGGCACUGAAUGGGUGCCUUUGUGCCUGCAAAGGGAUAUGGAGUUUCUCCUCUUCCUUUGCCCUGUUCAGAUGCUCUGAGCUGACUUGGGAGCUGCAGUCUGGGAACAGGAGCAGGAAAAGGAAGCUGUAAGACUUCAGCAGAAAACCCCGCAGCUGAACUUUGCAACUGAACUGCUGCUGUUGAUGAGUUUUCUGAGGGUCACAGGAGAAGUUUGGCUGGAGGGGACUGAUGGAGGAGCUGGGCCACAUCCCCAUGCCCAGUGCUGCACCUGCUCUGGAAAAUCUUCGGCUCCUGCUGGGCUAUAUCCAGCCAGACCCCGUGCCCAGUGACCCUGAGAGUCCAGGGGGAUUCUUGGAGCUUCUCGGAAUAGCUGAACUGUCCUUCCAUGAGACAGGUGAGGCGAGGAUGCUCAGGAACAGGAGCAAUGCAGUGAGACUUUUCGGGAAGGAGCCAUCUCUGCGCACCUGGAAGCAGGGUGGGAAUGACUGCCCUUUGCUCUGGCAGGAAAGGCCUGGCUGUGGCUUGCCGUGGCCAAAGCCUUGUGUCAGAUUGCUGCAUGCUGCAGCUCUGCUCUCCUGGAGGAGGGCAGGGGGGAAGCUGCCCUGUGCCCAAUAGCCCCAGGCACAGCCUUCAGCUUCCGUGGGCUGCUUGGAAAGAGCUGAUUAAAUACCGUGGUUAAAUCUCUGGUGUAAUAUCCUGGUUGUUUUAUAUGGUUUGGUGAUUGUAGGACUUUGGAAACAAAUGUGUCCAGCUGAGAUCUUGCUGUGCAUUUGAAAUAAACUUGUCAGAAAAAGCCACAAACA